GCUACACAUGCAGUCGAGCGGAACGAUGGUAGCUUGCUACCAGGCGUCGAGCGGCGGACGGGUGAGUAAUACUUAGGAAUCUACCUAGUAGUGGGGGAUAGCACGGGGAAACUCGUAUUAAUACCGCAUACGACCUACGGGAGAAAGGGGGCAGUUUACUGCUCUCGCUAUUAGAUGAGCCUAAGUCGGAUUAGCUAGAUGGUGGGGUAAAGGCCUACCAUGGCGACGAUCUGUAGCUGGUCUGAGAGGAUGAUCAGCCACACCGGGACUGAGACACGGCCCGGACUCCUACGGGAGGCAGCAGUGGGGAAUAUUGGACAAUGGGGGAAACCCUGAUCCAGCCAUGCCGCGUGUGUGAAGAAGGCCUUUUGGUUGUAAAGCACUUUAAGCAGUGAAGAAGACUCUUCGGUUAAUACCCGGAGACGAUGACNUUAGCUGCAGAAUAAGCACCGGCUAACUCUGUGCCAGCAGCCGCGUAAUACAGAGGGUGCAAGCGUUAAUCGGAAUUACUGGCGUAAG
rnacentral:rRNA from 1 species